ACCACAUAUGGGUGUCACGGUUCCACUAGUCUCAAAAUCUAGUGGCUAAGAUGGGAAGCCGGUGGGCUGCAUGAAUUGCAGCGAAUCCGGCGCUGCCCCCGCAACUGUAAGCAGUGAGUUGAAUCCGACCAACGUCACUGAUGCGAUUUCGCAUCGGGAAGACCGGAUUCAGCAACGACCUGCGAGCCAGGAGACCUGCCGCGACACCGAGAAAACG
rnacentral:ncRNA from 2 species